GUCGGCUCGGAGCAGCAGAUCCCCCUCUCAGUGGUGAAGCUCUGGGCCUCUGCCUUCGGUGGGGAGAUGAAAUCCAUCGCAGCCAAGUAUUCAGGUUCCCAGCUUCUGCAGAAGAAAUACAA
rnacentral:lncRNA from 1 species